rnacentral:tRNA from 1 species
UGGACAAUAGUUUUAAAAUUAUGUAAAAUUUGCAGCUUGCAUCUGCAAGGUGCCUUAGUGCGGCUUGUCUAA